rnacentral:tRNA from 2 species
GCAGGGGUGUCCGAGCAUGGUCAAAGGAGCUGGCCUGAGGCGCCAGUCUCAUAGGAGUGCGCGGGUUCAACUCCCGUCCCCUGCA